rnacentral:rRNA from 1 species
UAAUACAUAGGAUGCAAGCGUUGCUCGGAAUUACUGGGUGUAAAGAGCGUGUAGGUGGCCAGAUAAGUCAGUGGUGAAAGCCCUCGGCUCAACCGGGGAACUGCCAUUGAUACUGUCUGGCUUGAGUACGGGAGAGGAAAGGGGAAUUCCUGGUGUAGCGGUGAAAUGCGUAGAUAUCAGGAGGAACACCGGUGGCGAAGGCGCCUUUCUGGACCGAUACUGACACUGAGACGCGAAAGCGUGGGGAGCAAACAGGAUUAGAUACCCUGGUAGUCCACGCCCUAAACGAUGGGCACUAGGUGUGGGAACUUUUAGAGUUUCCGUGCCGAAGCUAACGCAUUAAGUGCCCCGCCUGGGAAGUACGAUCGCAAGGUUG